UUGAGUUUACUAACUUUUUAUAACUAGUUUCGACCUAGUUUUUUUUUGGUUAGAU
rnacentral:tRNA from 1 species